UUCCACAGCUACUGGCCUGAAACUGCUCUGAACUGUAGCAGUUGCAGUAUUCCAACUGUGGGAAAUCAGCAGUUACGCUGUGUCUCAAUGCUCCUUUCUCAGCCAAGAGAAAGGGGUUCCAGUGUGACGGACAAAA